GAUUUGGUCCCGGGUUCAGACCCAACGCUGGCGGCUGGCUUAUAACUUGCAAUCCCAACCAUCCUUCGGGAGGAUGCCUCACGGGUGCGUCUCGCGUGGCAACAUACCCUCGGGUGCGUAAUAAGCGGGGAAACUUGUGCUAAUUCCGCAUAAUGUCUUCGGACCGGGGAUUAAUGCGCCAGUGGACUAGCCCUCGUCUGAAUAUCUAUUUGGAGAGGGCUUGGCUCACCAAGGUGACGAUGGGUCCCUGGUCCGAUAGGAAGAUCGGCAACACUGGGACUGACACGGCGACCAUACUCCUCCGAGAUGCAACGGUGAGCAACCUUGGAGGAUGUGAGACACUCCCAUCCCUCCUUGGCGCGUGAGCAUUAAAGGACCUACGGCUGUAAAGCUCUCUCCGCCCUGACGACACCCAGUGAACGUGAGAGAAAACCCCGCGUAAAGCCCUGCUGCAGCCACGAUAAUACAACCUGGGGGAAGCGUUGGUUCCAAUCACUGGCCCUGAAGACGUGCGCACGGGGUAUUUGCCUGUCCAAAAAGUGAAAUCCCUGGGGCUCCGCCCCGGGGAAUUGGUUUUUGAAAUAAUGGGAAUCUAAAAUCCGGGCAGGGGGUCCCGAAAAAUUCCUAAUGGUAAAAGGCUC
rnacentral:rRNA from 1 species